CUACGGGCGGCUCCAGUGGGGAAUAUUGCACAAUGGGCGAAAGCCUGAUGCAGCAACGCCGCGUGAGCGAUGAAGGCCUUCGGGUCGUAAAGCUCUGUCCUCAAGGAAGAUAAUGACGGUACUUGAGGAGGAAGCCCCGGCUAACUACGUGUCAGCAGCCGCGGUAAUAGGUAGGGGGCUAGCGUUAUCCGGAUUUACUGGGCGUAAAGGGUGCGUAGGCGGUCUUUCAAGUCAGGAGUGAAAGGCUACGGCUCAACCGUAGUAAGCUCUUGAAACUGGGAGACUUGAGUGCAGGAGAGGAGAGUGGAAUUCCUAGUGUAGCGGUGAAAUGCGUAGAUAUUAGGAGGAACACCAGUAGCGAAGGCGGCUCUCUGGACUGUAACUGACGCUGAGGCACGAAAGCGUGGGGAGCAAACAGGAUUAGAUACCCUGGUAGUC
rnacentral:rRNA from 1 species